GAUGAACGCUGGCGGCGUGCUUAACACAUGCAAGUCGAACGGAAAGGCUCCUGCUUGCAGGGGUACUCGAGUGGCGAACGGGUGAGUAACACGUGGGUGAUCUGCCCUGCACUUCGGGAUAAGCCUGGGAAACUGGGUCUAAUACCGGAUAGGACCACAUUUUGGAUGGUGUGGUGGAAAGUUUUUCGGUGUGGGAUGAGCUCGCGGCCUAUCAGCUUGUUGGUGGGGUAAUGGCCUACCAAGGCGUCGACGGGUAGCCGGCCUGAGAGGGUGUACGGCCACAUUGGGACUGAGAUACGGCCCAGACUCCUACGGGAGGCAGCAGUGGGGAAUAUUGCACAAUGGGCGCAAGCCUGAUGCAGCGACGCCGCGUGGGGGAUGACGGCCUUCGGGUUGUAAACACCUUUCGCUAGGGACGAAGCGUUUUUGUGACGGUACCUGGAGAAGAAGCACCGGCUAACUACGUG
rnacentral:rRNA from 1 species